rnacentral:rRNA from 1 species
GACGAACGCUGGCGGCGUGCUUAACACAUGCAAGUCGAACGGAAAGGCCCUGCUUUUGUGGGGUGCUCGAGUGGCGAACGGGUGAGUAACACGUGAGUAACCUGCCCUUGACUUUGGGAUAACUUCAGGAAACUGGGGCUAAUACCGGAUAGGAGCUCCUGCUGCAUGGUGGGGGUUGGAAAGUUUCGGCGGUUGGGGAUGGACUCGCGGCUUAUCAGCUUGUUGGUGGGGUAGUGGCUUACCAAGGCUUUGACGGGUAGCCGGCCUGAGAGGGUGACCGGCAAGAGUGGGAGGGAGAGACGGGCCGGGGGACGGUGGGCGGGAGCAGGGGGGAAGAGUGCACAAUGGGGGGAGGUGGGAUGCAGCAGGGGAGGGGGAGGGGGGGAGGGGGGCGGGGUGGAAAAGGGUGGCGCCGGGGAAGAAGGGGGAGGGAGGGUAAUGGGGAGAGAAGCAACGGCUAGCUAGGGG